UACAUGUGGGGCAAGCGUUGUUCGGAAUUACUGGGCAUAAAGGGUGCGUAGGUGGUUUGUUAAGUCAGGGGUGAAAUCCCGCGGCCCAACCGUGGAACUGCCUUUGAUACUGGCGAACUUGAGUGCGUGAGGGGUAGGGGGAACGAGCAGUGUAGCGGUGAAAUGCGUAGAUAUUGCUCGGAAGGCCAGAGCCGAAGGGGCCCUACUGGUGCGUAACUGACACUGAGGCACGAAAGCGUGGGGAGCAAACAGGG
rnacentral:rRNA from 1 species